AGGAUGGAAGGCUUAGCUUUGGGUAUUCAAGCUUCAAAGAGGAAGAAAGUAUCGAUGGAGGAUUUUCACGAUAUUAAAACAUUGAAAAUUGGUGGUCAUUCAGUAUGCUUACUUGGAAUAUUUGAUGGUCAUGGUGGUUCUCGUGCUGCAGAGUAUUUGAAAGAGCAUCUCUUUGAUAAUCUCAUGAAGCAUCCAAAAUUUUUACUGAUGCCAAAUUGGCUAUAAGUGAAACGUACCAAGAGAUUAUAGGACUAUAAUAUCGAAGGCUGCUCUCUGUGAGGAUCAUGGGCCAAAUAGAAGGGAUGAACGAAAGAGGAAUUAAUGCGUUUAAACUAAAUUGAGGAAUCGGAUGAAGAAGCAUUAAGAAGAGUUAUACUGCGUUUAGUUUAUAU